AAUGUACAUUCUUUAAACAUGGCUUCAGAUUCUAAAGAGACUGUUGAUCGGCGUUGAAGUUUUCCUGGUUUUAUUUUACUUUAUUAUAUUUUAUUUUGCUUUUCUUUACUUGUGUUAUACCUUGUUUAAAGGCUGUAAUUUCACAGAUGAUGAGUUUAUCACUCACAACAUACGCAGAUGUACCACAAACCGAUGAAGAUCAUGAAGACUUCUUUUCCUAUUUGUUAAAUGAAGAUGAAGUGCAACUAAUUAUGUAUUAACUAAAAAUGUGAAAGACAAGUAGUUGCUUACUGAUGACUAUGAUGUAGACUCUGAUACAAGUGUCUAAGUUGCCUAUAAAAAUCAGCAAAUGCAUUUUAUGACGAACUAAUUGAAAAUACAUGUUGUAAGAAGUUAUGUUCUGAUAAAUGAUAUGUGUUUUGCUGCACAAUUCAAAUCUGCUAAAAACAGAAGGGAAUGUUGAAAGAUUUUGAAUUAUAUUACUUUAUUAUCUUUAUUCAACUGUGAUAAUUGUUUAUGUUUAAGCCUUAUUUGAAUUUUGUAGUAAUGCCUGUACAUAGCGUGUCAGCAAAUUCUUUAGCUGGAACAAAGUGAUCACAUGAGGAAGUUGCUCAAGACAACACCCACAUGUAUUGUUUUAACCCACUACAAGAUCGUUAAUCAACUUGUCCAUCUUUGUCUUGCAAGGCUGCAUCCUGUGCAGCCUCGUAUGCAAUCACCAGAUAAGAAGUUGUUUUUUCCUAACUAGUACUCCACCCAUGAGUGUUACAUGUGGUCCCAGUUCUGCAAUGAAAUCUUCAAAUAUGUAUAAAAGCGGCCGUGAUACAGCGUCGGCUUCCCGGAUCAAACCAUGAUAUUCUCUCUGUUGCUGCCAUCUUCUGAGAAUAUAAUGAACCACAAAUCUCUUUCCUUAAUUUUCUUGUUUAGAAACAUCAGGAACACUUCACUGCUUAACAUCAACUGAACUUUUUUAAAGAUGAAUUUUUCCAAAAA